UCUGGUUGAUCCUGCCAGUAGUCAUAUGCUUGUCUCAAAGAUUAAGCCAUGCAUGUCUAAGUAUAAAUAGUAUACAGUGUAACUGCAAAUGGCUCAUUAAAACAGUUAUAGUUUAUUUGAUAAUUGAAGGCUACAUGGAUAACCGUGGUAAUUCUAGAGCUAAUACAUGCUAUCAGGCCCAACUUCGUAGAAGGGUUGUAUUUAUUAGAUAUAAGCCAAUAUUCCUUCGGGUCUAUUGCGGUGAUUCACAAUAACUGAUCGAAUCUCUUUUAGAGAUAAAUCAUUCAAGUUUCUGCCCUAUCAGCUUUCGAUGCUUAGGUAUUGACUAAAGCAUGGCUUUAACGGGUAACGGAGAUUCAGGGUUCGAUUCCGGAGAGGGAGCCUGAGAAACGGCUACCACAUCUAAGGAAGGCAGCAGGCGCGUAAAUUACCCAAUCCUGAUUAAGGGAGGUAGUGACAAGAAAUAACAAACAGGGGAUUUUUCAAAUCUUACUGUAUUGCAAUGAGGAAAAUUUAAAAACCUUAUCGAGAAACAAGUGGAGGGCAAGUCUGGUGCCAGCAGCCGCGGUAAUUCCAGCUCCACUAGCGUAUAUUAAAAUUGUUGCAGUUAAAAAGCUCGUAGUUGAACCUCUGACUGUGUCUAGUUCUGGUUUUCAAUCAAGCUAGGUGCAGUCAUCCAUCUGCAAACCUUCUCGGGCAUUCAGUUGUUCGGUUAGGAGAGUAGAUAUUUUACUGUGAAAAAAUUAGAGUGUUUAAGGCAGACAAUGGUUUGAAUACAUUAGCAUGGAAUAAUAGAACAGGACACUUGUUCAUUUCGUUGGUUAUUGGACUCGUGUAAUGAUUAAUAGGGACAGUUGGGGGCAUUUGUAUUUAAUUGUCAGAGGUGAAAUUCUUGGAUUUAUUAAAGACAAACUUAUGCGAAAGCAUUUGCCAAGGAUGUUUACAUUAAUCAAGAACGAAAGUUAGGGGAUCAAAGACGAUCAGAUACCGUCCUAGUCUUAACUAUAAACUAUUCCGACUCGGUUUUGGCAUGGCGCAUAUAACCAUGUCAGCGCCGUAUGAGAAAUCAAAGUUACGGUUCCGGGGGGAGUAUGGUCGCAAGACUGAAACUUAAAGGAAUUGACGGAAGGGCACACAAGGUGUGGAGCCUGCGGCUUAAUUUGACCCAACACGGGGAAACUUACCAGGUUAAAACAUUAGUGGGAUUGACAGAUUGAGAGCUCUUUCUUGAUUCAAUGGGUGGUGGUGCAUGGCCGUUCUUAGUUCGUGGAGUGAUUUGUCUGCUUAAUUGCGAUAACGCGACGAGACCAUUACCUGCUUACUAGACACGUGA
rnacentral:rRNA from 1 species